rnacentral:rRNA from 1 species
AGCAUAUCAAUAAGCGGAGGAAAAGAAAAUAACAAUGAUUCCCUUAGUAACGGCGAGUGAAGGGGGAAAAGCUCAAAUUUUAAAUCUGCUAGGUUUUACCUGUCAGAAUUGUAUUUUGAAGAAGCGUUUUCCGCGUUUCGGUUGGCCCAAAUCCUUUGGGAUAGGGUAUCAUGGAGGGUGAGAAUCCCGUUCGGUUGACCUUAUGACGCUUUACGAUACGCUCUCUAAGAGUCGAGUUGUUUGGGAUUGCAGCUCAAAAUGGGAGGUAAAUUUCUCCUAAGGCUAAAUAUCGGCGAGAGACCGAUAGCGAACAAGUACCGUGAGGGAAAGAUGAAAAGAACUUUGAAAAGAGAGUAAAAUAGUACGUGAAAUUGUUGAAAGGGAAACGAUUGAAGUCAGUCGUACCGACGAGAACUCAGCUUAUCGUGUGUGAACUUGUGGGCGUGCGUGAGUUUCGGCCUCGCUGUUUGCAUGUUUGUGCGCUUUGGGUGUACUUUUUCGUAUGGUAGGCCAACAUCAGUUUCGAUCACUAUAAAAUGACUGGCGGAAUGUAGCUUCGAUUUCGGUUGAAGUGUUAUAGCUUCCGGUAGAUGUGGUGAUUGGGACUGAGGAUUGCAACGAAUAUCCUUUGGGCUAUCCGUCUGGCCUCUGAAAGUUGCUUGGGUGCUGAAAGCUUGCUUAUAGUUAUCUAAGUUAACGGUCAAUAGGUUAGAACGUGAUUACAUUCGUUAAGGAUGUUGGCGUAAUGGCUUUAAAUGACCCGUCU